CUCUUAGUCCCCUAAGAGUGGUUAAUUAAAUAUUUUCCUUAUUCAUUGCCCACAACUGUGGGUUGUUGUUUUUUUCCUCUAUGCACCCUAGAAAAAUUCCCAAGACUAGACUUAAGGAGGACACAAGCUGGUUAUGUAGUAAAAUAAGAGUGUCUUUUCUGUUGGAUGUUCAUUUUAGUUCCCUGAGUUCCCAGGGCAUACAAUGUUUAGAAACUUCUUUCUCUAAACAUAAGAAUUAUUGCACACCACGAUUUUGAACUACCGAUUUCCAUAUCUUAAGCAGCUAUCAACUUGCCAAUUCCCUUUGGGUCUUCUUUACAUUUUUCUUAUAAUGUUUCCUUGUGUUCUGGGUUGUCCUCAGAAAGAGUUUCGGGGGUGGGGGGGG
rnacentral:lncRNA from 1 species